GGUGAAGCCACUAUUCAAAGCCAGGAAUAGAGAAUAAGGAGCAAUGGUGGAGGGGGGAUGGAGCUGGGCCUCCCGAUUUACCUCCCAAGUUACCAGGAGUGGUCAGAUGUCUGGCAUUUAGAUGCAUACUAACUGAUAAGCAAGUAGGGCAGUGCUGGAGUAAGGAAGCAUGGGGGGGGGGGGGGUGGGGUUGUGAGGGAGACAGGUGCUAAAGCCAACAUGGUGGAUUCAGAGGACCAGACCCGAAGAAAGCUGUCUGCUCUACGUGGCUCCCUGACUCUGAGCCUAUGAGGCAGAAGAGUCCAGGUGUGAGGUGAAUCUUUGGCUCUGACAACCGGGACUGUCCAGGGAAAGAAGUAAAACUCUACUAUGUCUUUGAAAAAAGUCACCAAGAGACUUUGGAGGACCCUGAUAUGCAAGUUUACUCUGGAGACAGGUGGCUGACUAGCAGCAGCUGGGGACCUCCUGUGGAGACAGAAAAGAAGGCCUGAGUCUUUGUAUCACUAUCACCCCCAUGUUCCCCUCCCCCCCACACCCCCACACCUCACCCCAGCCCAUGAUCACUGAAGAGUUUCCCAGGUCAUAAUGAGCUAUCAAAUGACAUCAUGCUGUCUCCGGAAGGCAGGCUCCUGUAACACUGGUGGAUGACUGCAAUCCUCUGACAUCCAGAUGGCCCGGAAUUUCCCCACGCACAGCCUCCUGGAUGCUCCAACUCUUCUGGAAGGAAGUCGUUUACUCCAGGUCCCUAACCUGCCCCUCUGUUUUAGGUUUCACAGUUCCAAAAGGCCCUCAGACAAUAGGCUUGCUCAGGAAUAACACCAAAUGUCAGAGUGGAUCCCAAUUCCUUUGGUAGUGUGGUAGAAAGUUAUGCCAGACAAAGGGGUCCUGAGAGACCAACCAGUCUGGGCCUCCCUUUUGCACUUCAGGAAACUGAGACCCAGAGACGUGAAGUCAGUCGCCAAAAGACACACAACAGGAAUCCAGGUUGCUUAACAUAAGGUGUGGUCUUUCACAGAGGAACCAGGCAUUAUUCUACAUUGUAACAAGCCUGCUGAUGUUAAGAGUCCAAUGAAAGGAGCAAACAAACUUGUGCUCCAGGAGUACUGGGGCUCCUCCUUUUCUUUUUUGUUUUUCUUCCUUGUUUAUUUCUCGACCCUACCGCCCAAUUUUGCUGGUCUUACCAACCUUCUCAUGCUUUGCAGAACUUCUACCCAGUGCAUUACAGAAGAGCCUGCCCAAAUAGUAUAGAGCAGUAGCCCUCACACUUUAGGGUCAUCAGAAAUCACCUAGAGGGCUUACCAAGACCCCCACUGAACCCAACCCCCAGGGUCUUUGAGCAACUGGCCUGGGAUGAGCUGGAGAGUGUGCAUUUCUAAAAGAUCACUCAUGGCGCUGAUGCUGCCAGUCCAGGGGGCCCAUUUUCAGAACUGUUAGAAUAGAGGGCUGUCUGGCCCACUAAAGAGCAAUAGCAUAUUAGCAACAAGCAAGGGAGUGGGACUCUAGGCCAGUCAGUGGUUCUCAAGCAUAGAUGAGCAAUGUUCUCACUUGGGGAGCUAUUAAAAAUAUG